CCUACGGUAGUCAGCAGUGAGGAAUAUUGGUCAAUGGACGCAAGUCUGAACCAGCCAUGCCGCGUUCAGGAAGACGGCUCUAUGAGUUGUAAACUGCUUUUGUACGAGGGUAAACGCAGAUACGCGUAUCUGUCUGAAAGUAUCGUACGAAUAAUGAUCGGCUAACUCCGUGCCAGCAGCCGCGGUAAUACGGAGGAUUCAAGCGUUAUCCGGAUUUAUUGGGUUUAAAGGGUGCGUAGGCGGUCGGAUAAGUUAGAGGUGAAAUCCCGAGGCUCAACUUCGGAAUUGCCUCUGAUACUGUUCGGCUAGAGAGUAGUUGCGGUAGGCGGAAUGUAUGGUGUAGCGGUGAAAUGCUUAGAGAUCAUACAGAACACCGAUUGCGAAGGCAGCUUACCAAGCUACUUCUGACGUUGAGGCACGAAAGCGUGGGGAGCAAACAGGAUUAGAUACCCUAGUAGUC
rnacentral:rRNA from 1 species